rnacentral:rRNA from 1 species
UACGGAGGGAGCUAGCGUUGUUCGGAAUUACUGGGCGUAAAGCGUACGUAGGCGGUUAUUCAAGUCGGGGGUGAAAGCCCGGGGCUCAACCCCGGAACUGCCCUCGAAACUAGAUAGCUAGAAUCUUGGAGAGGCGAGUGGAAUUCCGAGUGUAGAGGUGAAAUUCGUAGAUAUUCGGAAGAACACCAGUGGCGAAGGCGACUCGCUGGGCAAGUAUUGACGCUGAGGUGCGAAAGCGUGGGGAGCAAACAGG